rnacentral:rRNA from 1 species
CCAAUAGCGUAUAUUAAAGUUGUUGCAGUUAAAAAGCUCGUAGUUGAACUUCGGGGUUCACCCAUUGGUCAGGCUUAAUUGUCUGUACUGGUGAGAUGAGUCUCUACCUUCUGAGGAACUUUCAUGCCAUUUAUUUGGUGUGAUUGGAAAUCAGGACUGUUACUUUGAAAAAAUUAGAGUGUUUAAAGCAGGCUAACGUCUGAAUACAUUAGCAUGGAAU